rnacentral:ncRNA from 1 species
UUCUUCGGGGCAGGGUGCAAUUCCCUACCGGCGGUACAGUCCGCGAGCCGUGUGGCAUGAUCCGGUGUGAUUCCGGAACCGACAGUAUAGUCUGGAGGAAAGAAGAU